AAGAGUUAGGGUCUUCUAGGCCCGACCUCCCAACCCUAUGUUUAUUGAACCUCUGUUGCUUCGGCGGACCCGCUUCACGGCCGCCGGAGGACCGCUGAAAGGCGUCCUCUGGCCAGCGUCCGCCGAUAGCCAACCACUUAAAACUCAAAAUGAAUCGUGUCAUAUGUCUAAGUCUAUGAUUAAAUUAAAGCA
rnacentral:misc_RNA from 1 species